GGUGCUGUGGUGAGUCGGUUAUCACAUCAGUCUUACACACUGAAGGUCCCCAGUUCGAACCUGGGCAGCACCA
rnacentral:tRNA from 1 species